GAUGAUGUAGUUUAAUGGUAGAGCUUUGGAAUCAUAAUCCUAAUGUUGUAGGUUCAAAUCCUACCAUCAUUA
rnacentral:tRNA from 2 species